AGUUUGAUCCUGGCUCAGGAUGAACGCUAGCUACAGGCUUAACACAUGCAAGUCGAGGGGAAACGACAUUGGAAGCUUGCUUCCGACGGGCGUCGACCGGCGCACGGGUGAGUAACGCGUAUCCAACCUGCCCACCACUUGGGAAUAACCUUGCGAAAGUAAGACUAAUGCCCAAUGACGUUGAAAGAAGACAUCUGAUUUCAACUAAAGAUUCAUCGGUGAUGGAUGGGGAUGCGUCCGAUUAGCUUGUUGGCGGGGUAACGGCCCACCAAGGCAACGAUCGGUAGGGGUUCUGAGAGGAAGGUCCCCCACAUUGGAACUGAGACACGGUCCAAACUCCUACGGGAGGCAGCAGUGAGGAAUAUUGGUCAAUGGGCGAGAGCCUGAACCAGCCAAGUAGCGUGCAGGAUGACGGCCCUAUGGGCUGUAAACUGCUUUUAUAAGGGAAUAAAGUGGGGCUCGUGAGCUCCUUUGCAUGUACCUUAUGAAUAAGGACCGGCUAAUUCCGUGCCAGCAGCCGCGGUAAUACGGAAGGUCCGGGCGUUAUCCGGAUUUAUUGGGUUUAAAGGGAGCGUAGGCCGCAGGUUAAGCGUGUUGUGAAAUGUAGGGGCUCAACCUCUGCACUGCAGCGCGAACUGGCUUGCUUGAGUACGCACAACGUGGGCGGAAUUCGUGGUGUAGCGGUGAAAUGCUUAGAUAUCACGAAGAACUCCGAUUGCGAAGGCAGCUCACGGGAGCGCAACUGACGCUGAAGCUCGAAAGUGCGGGUAUCGAACAGGAUUAGAUACCCUGGUAGUCCGCACGGUAAACGAUGGAUGCCCGCUGUUGGCUUGAAUUAGUCAGCGGCCAAGCGAAAGCAUUAAGCAUCCCACCUGGGGAGUACGCCGGCAACGGUGAAACUCAAAGGAAUUGACGGAAGGG
rnacentral:rRNA from 1 species